UACGAAGGGGGCUAGCGUUGCUCGGAAUUACUGGGCGUAAAGGGAGCGUAGGCGGACAUUUAAGUCAGGGGUGAAAUCCCAGAGCUCAACUCUGGAACUGCCUUUGAUACUGGGUGUCUUGAGUGUGAGAGAGGUAUGUGGAACUCCGAGUGUAGAGGUGAAACUCGUAGAUAUUCGGAAGAACACCAGUGGCGAAGGCGACAUACUGGCUCAUUACUGACGCUGAGGCUCGAAAGCGUGGGGAGCAAACAGG
rnacentral:rRNA from 1 species